rnacentral:rRNA from 1 species
AACGAACGCUGGCGGCGUGCUUAACACAUGCAAGUCGAACGAUGAAGCUAGAGCUUGCUCUGGUGAAUUAGUGGCGAACGGGUGAGUAACACGUGAGUAACCUGCCCCGAACUCUGGGAUAACUGCUGGAAACGGUAGCUAAUACUGGAUACGACCUACGAAGGCAUCUUCUGUAGGUGGAAAGAAUUUCGGUUCGGGAUGGACUCGCGGCCUAUCAGCUUGUUGGUGAGGUAAUGACUCACCAAGGCGACGACGGGUAGCCGGCCUGAGAGGGGGACAGGCGACACUGGGACUGAGACACGGCCCAGACUCCUACGGGAGGCAGCAGUGGGGAAUAUUGCACAAUGGGCGCAAGCCUGAUGCAGCAACGCCGCGUGAGGGAUGACGGCCUUCGGGUUGUAAACCUCUUUUAGUAGGGAAGAAGCGAAAGUGACGGUACCUGCAGAAAAAGCACCGGCUAACUACGUGCCAGCCGCCGCUGUAA